rnacentral:rRNA from 1 species
UACGUAGGGUGCGAGCGUUAAUCGGAAUUACUGGGCGUAAAGCGUGCGCAGGCGGUUUUGUAAGCCAGAUGUGAAAUCCCCGGGCUCAACCUGGGAAUGGCAUUUGGGACUGCAAGGCUUGAGUGCGGCAGAGGAGACUGGAAUUCCUGGUGUAGCAGUGAAAUGCGUAGAUAUCAGGAGGAACACCAAUUGCGAAGGCAGCUCGCUGGGACGUUACUGACGCUGAGACGCGAAAGCUAGGGGAGCGAACGG